GACGAACGCUGGCGGCGUGCUUAACACAUGCAAGUCGAACGGAAAGGCCCUGCUUUUGUGGGGUGCUCGAGUGGCGAACGGGUGAGUAACAUGUGAGUAACCUGCCCUUGACUUUGGGAUAACUUCAGGAAACUGGGGCUAAUACCGGAUAGGAGCUCCUGCUGCAUGGUGGGGGUUGGAAAGUUUCGGCGGUUGGGGGUGGGCUCGCGGCUUAUCGGCUUGUUGGUGGGGUGGUGGCUUACCAAGGCUUUGACGGGUAGCCGGCCUGAGAGGGGGACCGGCCACAGUGGGACUGAGAGACGGCCCAGACGCCUACGGGGGGCAGCAGUGGGGAAUAUUGCACAAUGGGCGGAAGCCUGAUGCAGCAACGCCGCGUGCGGGAUGACGGCCUUCGGGUUGUAAACCGCUUUCGCCUGUGACGAAGCGUGAGUGACGGUAAUGGGUAAAGAAGCACCGGCUAACUACGUGCCAGCCGCCGCCGUAA
rnacentral:rRNA from 1 species